GCUAGCCUUAUUUCCUUUUACUUAGAGAUUACACUUGGUUAGCAGCUAUCAUCUGAAAAAAAGAAAUCUAUCUGAAGAGAGAAGUAUCACAGCAUUUGAUAUCCUAGUGAUGUUUGAAAACUGGAUUUUUGAUACCAGCCCCAGCAUAGUGAUCUUGAGGAAACCUCAGCUGGGCCUGGAUGACUGAGGCCAGUGUGACUCGGGAACCUGGAGGAAAAGAGGCUCAGAAGUGCUUGGAGACUUUUAAUUAGAAUCCUCUUGCUUUCUCUCUCCCUCUCUCUCUCACUUAUACUAAUAAAUAAAUAUAAUUCAAUAU
rnacentral:lncRNA from 1 species